UGUUUGAGUCAGCAUGAAUUAGUUAAGCUUAACUCUAAUGAUUUUGACCUGGUUUCUUGGGAACAGAUGCUAUUUUACUUCGUGUAGUAUCUUUGGAGCUAGCUACCAGGAUGGGAAUGAUCUUUUUGAAACCAAAGUUCACGCACCAUUGAAAUUUCUUCAGGUUACAGGCCAGUUGUGGUCUAUCACAACUUUGAAACUUUUGUAGAGGAAGAAGACAAAGAGGCAUUAGGAAAAGAUACAGCAAGACAGUUGCCAAGGAGGAAAAUCAAAUACCCAGACAUGAUGGGAAAUCACUGCAGAAUACAGAAGACAAACAAAACAACAACAAAAACUCCACAAUAUCAAUAAAUCCAGUGACAAUAUUUUUAGACAUUUACACUGAAAAAGAACAGAACAGUCAUUGUACAGUUUCACCAGAUAAAGAAUGAGCAUAAAAGUGGCAUGCAAUAAAAUAAUUUAGUAUCUUCCUAGCUGCUGGCCUACAGUGAGGCUUGCAGAUGGGAAGGUGCACUCUGAGGAAGGCAUUGAUGGUACCAGCAUCAAGUGCAGAUCAACAGAGAUUCACUUCCUCUGCCAAUUCUCUAUUCUUGUGUAAAAAGAGAAAACAUACAUGAAUGGGUGCAACAUCUGUUGAACUGUUUUUAAUGUGCCAAAGUAGAAUGGGAUUUUCAGUUUAAGAAACAGGGUUUAAAAAAGAAGUAAGGAGAAAAAUGUGGUGCAAAAUUAGGAAAGAAAAUAUUUAUGUAAAGAAAUCUUCAUGAGAAAUAAUAUGAAUAUCCCACUGAAGAUAGGUUGACAGGCAGCUUGAUGGGAUAGCUGAUUGAGACAGAGAAGAGAUUCUGGAUUUAAAAAAUACAGUGACAAUUAAAUGCAACAGAAAUUUGGUUCAGUUGGGCUUUAGGGAAAACAUAAUUUUUUUGUCACACACAUUUCUGCUGCUUGCUGAUUUAUGGGGAGAGAGUGGCAUUGAAGAAAAGGAGGGUAUCAGCCAAACUGUCUGAGGUGAGGAAGAUCUCAUAUAAUGUUGCAGUCACAGAAAGGUGUCAGGCAGCUGACCAAGGGUGGUGACUUCCCAUUCCCAAAAGUCAAGGAGGAUUUAACAUCAAGCACGAAGGCUCACUACAGAGAAAUAAGAGCAAAGAACAUCAAUGAUUUGAUGAAACCAUGUGGCAUUUUAUAGAAAUGGAUAAAGAGGAAAUUGGCUAACAAAGAUGAAUGUGCAGCAAAGAAACCAAAGUGAAAAUAUUGAAAUGUGAGGAUAAUGUAAAUGGAGUUAUAGAAGAAAUAGCUGAUGUGAAAAUGUUGAUAAGGCCAUCGUUGGAAACACUAGAUAUACAGCUGGAGCAAAGCAAGAGGUGAACUUACCAACAUAAUAGGGAAAGUGGCCAUGAUUAAAGGAUAAAUAUGUUCCAGAAGAAUUGACACUGGCAAUAACAACUUCACAUUAAAGCCACACUUAGAGAUGCUUCAUGACAUGGAAAGCACAAAGCAUAAAAUUUUGGAAGCUGAUUCAAAGUUGGAAAGGAAUAUGACAAUUUGCCAAGGCAUAACAAAGAUGCUUGAUUCAUACGAAGAAUUAUAAAUGAGAGGAAGGCAAGCACUGUUUUGAACUA
rnacentral:lncRNA from 1 species